rnacentral:rRNA from 1 species
UACAGAGGUCUCAAGCGUUGUUCGGAUUCAUUGGGCGUAAAGGGUGCGUAGGCGGCGCGGUAAGUCGGGUGUGAAAUCUCGGAGCUUAACUCCGAAACUGCAUCGGAUACUAUCCGGCUUGAGGGUUGGAGGGGGGACUGGAAUACUUGGUGUAGCAGUGAAAUGCGUAGAUAUCAAGUGGAACACCAGUGGCGAAGGCGAGUCCCUGGACAACUCCUGACACUGAGGCACGAAAGCUAGGGGAGCAAACAGG